rnacentral:rRNA from 1 species
AUUGAACGCUGGCGGCAGGCCUAACACAUGCAAGUCGAGCGGAUGAAGGGAGCUUGCUCCUGGAUUCAGCGGCGGACGGGUGAGUAAUGCCUAGGAAUCUGCCUGGUAGUGGGGGAUAACGUCCGGAAACGGGCGCUAAUACCGCAUACGUCCUGAGGGAGAAAGUGGGGGAUCUUCGGACCUCACGCUAUCAGAUGAGCCUAGGUCGGAUUAGCUAGUUGGUGGGGUAAAGGCCUACCAAGGCGACGAUCCGUAACUGGUCUGAGAGGAUGAUCAGUCACACUGGAACUGAGACACGGUCCAGACUCCUACGGGAGGCAGCAGUAGGGAAUAUUGGACAAUGGGCGAAAGCCUGAUCCAGCAAUGCCGCGUGUGUGAAGAAGGUCUUCGGAUUGUAAAGCACUUUUAGUUGGGAGGAAGGGCAGUAAGUUAAUACCUUGCUGUUUUGACGUUACCAACAGAAUAAGCACCGGCUAACUUCGUG